AUACUACUCCCUCCGUUCUGAAUUACUUGUCUUGGAUUUGUCUAGAUACGGAUGUAUCUUGCUAGAUACAUCCGUAUCUAGACAAAUUCAAGACAAGUAAUUCGGAACGGAGGGAGUACUAU
rfam:Triticum aestivum genome assembly, contig: Triticum_aestivum_CS42_TGACv1_scaffold_515562_6BS